UCCCUGACCAAUGUUUCCCCUUCUGUACCAGAAGCUCGCUUCAAUCAGAGUGGCUGAACUGGAUGCGAUCAGGUUUCACGGCUUGUGCCACCUUUUUCCUCCUAUGGUCUUGCUGAGGUGGUGGGAUUUCCCCCCCCCUUCGUGUUUUGUGAGGCCCCUGUACAAAAGUUGCGUAUGCAAAAAAAACGUUCUUUUUCACGGCAAAGUUCAGAUGCAUCAAGAGUGAAAUGACCGUGGAAAUGUACGGUUCCUCACGCACACUUCAUGGCUGGCGUACGCACGUUUCUGCAGCUGAUGGGCCUUUCCUAUUACCCACUUUUCACAAAAUUUCAAAAUAAAAGCCCGAUAUUAAAACAUUUUACAAGGAAAUUAGAGCUAAAUUUCUCAAAGGAUUUGCACCAUUCCUACUUCUACCUGUGCAGCUCAUUCAAACAAACCUGUGAACACCUCCUUCCCCAAGUUUCACGAAAUUUCAAAAGCCCGAAAUUCCAAAUUUUGCUAUAACUUCCUUAAUUCUCAACAGAUUUGCACUGUUCCUACUUCAACGUGUUCAGCUCAUUCAAACCAACCUGUGAACAACUCGCUGAAAUUUCACAAUUUUUAAUUAAAAUCCUGAAAUGCCACUUUUUUUUUUUUACAAAUUUUGCUGUAACUUCCUUAUUUCUCAACAGAUUUACAUUUCUUACUUUGUUUAGCUCAUUCAAGCCAACCUGUGAAUAACUCCCGUUUACCAAAUUUCACGUAAUUUCAAAAAGCCAGACAUUUUAAAUUUUUUUACCCCCAAAAAUUUCACUUUUUCAACCUAACUUUUCCUCCUUUUUGACCCAAUAUUCCCAUAUUGUGACACAUUCUACAUUAUUCCCUCCUCGUUCAACAUUUAUUGACCCAUUGACACCAUUUGAACUUUCCAAUAUUCAGCUCAUUUCACUUCAUUCAAUGACAUUCGACAUUUCUACCAGAAUUUCAGCAUUCACACGCAAUUUCUUCAGGAAUUGCCCUUUCUAGUUGAAUGUAUUGUGUGAAUAUCUCUACAGACUGUUUUGCAGGUUAGAUUUGGCUUACUCUAACCAGCAAAUCAGAGGACAUAACUUGCUGGCUUAGUUUAGUUUAUUUGAUAUGGACAUCACAAGAACAUUGGACAAACCAGAUACCCCACUUCAAGUGUUUUACCAGGAGUGUUAAUUCUCAACACCUGACUUCUGAGGUGAGUUUGAAAUCUAAAUGGUUAAAUAAAAAGUCCCAUUGUUAAUACAUUGUAGUUUAAUUUACAUUGAACCGCACUACUGAUGCUAAAGGAAUUGGAUAGAUUAGAUAUGGCAACGCAUAUUGUACAGGCUAAAAUCUGAUAGGACAAAAAUAAAUCUAACAUCCAUAUGUGGAAGAAAUAUAGCUAAGAGAAAUGCUACAAAAUCAAGAAUCGAGUCUUGGAAAUUUAUUACAAACUCAUGGAACAAAUACUGUAUUAAAAUUUGUUUAAAGUAUAGUGAGUGCUUCUGAUAUGUAGGCUAUUAGAGAAGAUUUUGCUGCCACUUACCACUAGUUUAACCUAACCAAUGUCAUGUCAGAUGUUCGCCAUGACAGGUGUUUCACCCAAGGCAUAUAUACACAUUACACCUGCAUAAUAAAGGCAUCUCUGUGGGCACAAGUGUCCCUUGUUUUCUGUGGAAAUACACGCCUUUCUUCCAUUUUCGCGAGGUGUCGUGUGGUGGUUGGCCGCCUGUCUGUCUCUGGGUCUCUGUUUCUCAGUCACUCUCACUCUCUAUUUUGGUGCUGCAUCGCGCUGCCAAGCCCCUGACGUCAUGCUCCACUGUUAAUGAUUAGCAUGUGGAAACAGGCUGCGCAUGCUUUUCAGCAUCAAGGCGCCCAAAUAUAGCCGGAACAAGAUUGUACAUGCCUUCAAAAUUAAAGCUUUAGGCUCUCUAGAAGAUGAAGCUGCUAAUCAUCAGUAAAACCUGUAAUUCUAUUCUUGCUGAUAGAAUGUUUUUCAUACCUGUUAAUAUAUCAUUGAAACUGCCACUGAGGGACCCAUAGGUGCUAUGAAUAUGAUUAAGGAGUUUACACAUAUCCAACAAUGCUACUAAAAUAAUGAAAAAAAUGCCAUGUAUCCAAAUUGACAUUUUUACUUCAUUAUAUGGCAUUUAUAUGACAGUGGUUUAUGGGUCAAUAUCACUACAAUUUGUCUUCAGAAUCAAUCACUCAGUCAUUGUUAAAAUAGCACAAUAAUGAAACUACGACGUUAUAAGUGGCUCAUGCUUACAUUUACAUACAUGCCAGUACAAUAAGUGUAUUAAAUUAUGUCCUUUCUACA